UUAACCUUUCACGAGAUAAUUGUUUAUCCUUGCUAGAGUUUGGUUCUUUGUAGUUAUCACAUUGUUGUACCUCACUAUAAAUACUGCUGUAAUAAUCACUUCAAAAAUACAAGAACUCUAUUCCUUCACAUGGUAUCAGAGUCGGAAAUGACUACUCAAACAAACUCCUCCUCCUCCUCAUCCGCUCUCAAAAUUCUUCUUCUACAUCCGCUUUUACCUCCACUGCCAUUGCUCAUACUUUUGCUGUCAAACUCAAUUUCUCCAAUUACCUUUCUUGGAAAACUCAAUUUAUUCCGCUUCUAAACUAUCAAAAUCUGAUGCAUUUUGUUGAUGGCUCUACUCGACCUCCUCCAAAGGAAAUCAUAACUGAGACAAAUCCACCCGUGCAUUUUCCAAAUCUAGAGUAUCAUGACUGGUCUAAGAAGGAUCAGAUGUUAAUGUCUUGGCUUUUUUCAUCUCUAUCUGAAGAAGUGUUCUCUUAUGUUGUGGGGCCUGACUUCUUCAGCUCAAGUUUGGAAUGCUCUAGGAAAUGCUUUUGGGUCUAUUUCUCAAAAUAGACAACUUCAGCUACAUAUAGACCUUCAAGAGUUAAAGAAAAAUGAUCUCUCUGUUUCACAGUACUUAUAAAAAGUAAACCGCUUGCCGAUGAAUCAGGUGCCGUCGGAAGAUCGUUAUCUACAGCUGAGUUCAAUGCAAUCAUCUACAGAAAUAUUGGAAGUGAAUUUCACCCUAUUAUCACAGCCUUAAAUGUUAGGCCGGAACCUGUUCCUUUCCAUGAACACCAUGGCCAACUAGUUACUCAUGAAAUUUUGUUAAAAAGCAACUCUGAAAACCCAGUAAUCAAUCAUGUCAAUGAGCCACCACUCUUAUCCACACUGAGACCUCACAAUGUCCAUACAUCCUACAGGCAUAGUAAUCUCAAUAAUCGCCCAAUUAUCAGAAUAAGGGGCCUUGCCAGAUAUGCGGUCUUCAUAACCAUUCUGCUGAUAGAUGCAGAAAUCGUUACACUUCAAGAUCAAGGGAACUACAAUCAAUAUCAGAAACCGUUACGUCUUGCCGGUCCUCAGUUCUCAAAUCAAGCCAAUCUUGCUUAUUAAAAUGGAGCACCAUGUUCGGCUCAAUCUGAUACCACAGGCUCGACUCUUCCAUGGUUCUCGAAUACUGGUGCUACGCAUCAUGUUGUUCCUGACGUUUCCAAUCUCAACAUCAAUGCUGAUUAUCGAGGUGGUAAUCAACUCCAAGUUGCUGAUGGUCAAGGUUUAAAUAUUCAUCAUACGGGCUCUACUACAAUUUCCUCAAAUUCUAAACCUCUUUACCUUAAUAAUGUAUUGCAUGUUCCUCAAAUUACCAAACAAUUGCAAUCUGUUCAGUUUACCAGAGACAAUAAUUGUUUCUUUGAAUUUCACCCAUCUUAUUUUGUUGUUAAGGAUCAGGAACCCAAGAAGUACUACUCCGAGGACUGAGUUAACAUGGUCUCUACAAUUUACCAUCUCCAUCAAAGCUUCAAGCUCAUAUUGCACAGGCUUCCUUGGAAGAUUGGCAUGCAAGAUUAGGACAUUCUAAUAUGCAAACUAUAAAUAAAGUUGUUCAUCAAUUUCAUUUGCCUUGUUCUUUUUGUUCAAGUUUCUUGAAUUUCAAAUGUUCUUCAUGUUAUCAAGGGAAACUUAGUAAAUUUUCGUUUCCAUCUAUUGAGCAUUCUAGCACUAGUCCAUUAGACCUUAUUCAGUCGGAUAUAUGUGGUCUUUCUCCUCAUACCUCUAGUGACGGUUACAAAUGCUUUGUGUUGUUCAUAGAUGACUUUACUAGGUUUACUUGGUUUUAUCCAUUAAAGCAAAGAAGUGAUUUGUAUAACGUGUUUAUUUUGUUUCAAAAGCUUGUUGAAAAUCAAUUUAACAAAAAAAUAAAAGCUCUUCAAUCUGACUGGGGUGGGG
rnacentral:lncRNA from 1 species